rnacentral:rRNA from 1 species
ACCAAGGCGACGAUCCGUAGCUGGUCUGAGAGGAUGAUCAGCCACACUGGAACUGAGACACGGUCCAGACUCCUACGGGAGGCAGCAGUGGGGAAUAUUGGACAAUGGGCGCAAGCCUGAUCCAGCCAUACCGCGUGGGUGAAGAAGGCCUUCGGGUUGUAAAGCCCUUUUGUUGGGAAAGAAAAGCAGUCGAUUAAUACUCGGUUGUUCUGACGGUACCCAAAGAAUAAGCACCGGCUAACUUCGUGCCAGCAGCCGCGGUAAUACGAAGGGUGCAAGCGUUACUCGGAAUUACUGGGCGUAAAGCGUGCGUAGGUGGUUGUUUAAGUCUGUUGUGAAAGCCCUGGGCUCAACCUGGGAAUUGCAGUGGAUACUGGGCGACUAGAGUGUGGUAGAGGGUAGUGGAAUUCCCGGUGUAGCAGUGAAAUGCGUAGAGAUCGGGAGGAACAUCCAUGGCGAAGGCAGCUACCUGGACCAACACUGACACUGAGGCACGAAAGCGUGGGGAGCAAACAGGAUUA